UUUAACUGAAGAGUUUGAUCAUGGCUCAGAUUGAACGCUGGCGGCAGGCUUAACACAUGCAAGUCGAGCGGGGGAAGGUAGCUUGCUACUGGACCUAGCGGCGGACGGGUGAGUAAUGCUUAGGAAUCUGCCUAUUAG
rnacentral:rRNA from 1 species